AUGGAACCCAGGGCUUUGCACGUGCUAGGCAAGCCCUCUACCACUAAACUACAUCCCAACCUGUCAUUUCUUUUUUCUUUUUUUUUUUGGCGGGGGUAAGGGGAUACUGGGGAUUGAACUCAGGGACACAUCAACUACUGAGUCACAUCCCCAGCCCUAUUUUGUAUUUUAUUUAGAGACAGGGUCUCACUGAGUUGCUUAGCACCACACUAUUGCUGAGAUUGGCUUUGAAUUCGCGAUCCUCCUGUCUCAGCCUCCCCAGCUGCUGAGAUUAGAGCCCUGCGCCAUCUCGCCUGGCCCGUCAUUUUUUUUUUAGAUUAUUUCAGUGGACACAUAUAUACAUUUUAAUAUAUACAUAUAUAUAUAUAUUUUUUUUAAAUUAUGAGUUCAUGUUGAUAUUUUCAGUUUAAACAUUGUAGCGUUUCACUUAAUUUCUUUGACAUCAUAAUUAUAUUGGAAUUCAUGAAUCUUUGUCAAUACUCUGUUAACAAAAACACCACCACAUGUGAUACCCAUAAUAUUAUUCUCUCAGGAAAAUAAGUAUUCUUUUCAACUGUACACUUUUAAUAUUUGCUAUUUAAUGUCAACAGUUAAGCAGAAGAUAAUAACUGUCCUGAAUGAUGUUCUAUACAUACUCGUAGAUACUUUACCAAACUAUAUUAGAUUUUUAAUUUUAUUUUAUUGUUUGGUUUUCAUACUUUUCUGUCUUUCUCUAAAUGAGUAUUUCAUAAACAUUAAUCCAUCAUUAUACAAUUAAUUCUCAUAAUUUUUAUAGUAGAACCCAUAAUCUACUUCUCUUAACAGCUAUUGAACAAAAUUGUUUAUUACUAACUAAAAUGAUUUAUAAUCAUUCAUCAGUUACAACUUUUUAACCAAAGCAUUCCACACCUAUUAACCCAUUCGGUUCUCACAUCAACCCCAUGAGUAGUGUGCCUAUUAACAAUAAAGAAUCAGGGUGGGGCUGGGGAUAUAGCUCAUUUGGUAGAGUGCUUGCCUUGCAUGCACAAGGUGCUGAGUUCAAUCCCCAGCACCACAAAAAAAAAAAAGAAUCAGGCUGGGAUAAUAAUAGGUUGAUGUGUAAAAAAACGACCUAUAGGUUGUUUGUGACCAGUGCCCAUUUGGACUAGUCAGGCUUCCCAUCUUCCUGGGGGUGGGGCCAGUGGGAGUGGCCAUAUCAUACAGUUACAUAUUUUGACUAUCACCUUGAAAGCAGAAUCAUAAUGUUUAAAAUUACUUGCUCCAAGGUUCAAGGUUAGUAAUUGACAAAGAUAGAAAAUGACAAAAUUAGGACUAGAACACAAGCCUUCUGAUUCCUACUGUGAUCCUAUUUCUACCAGUUCUUUUAUUAAUAAAGACAGCUAAUAAUCCUUCUAUCCAAAAAUAUUGAUUAAUUUAUAUUUGGGGCCAGGCACAGUGGCACAUGCCUGUAAUCCUAGUGGCUCCAGAGGCUGAGGCAGGAGGAUUAUGAGUUAAAAACCAACCUCAGCAAUUUAGCAAGGCCCUAAGCAACUUAGAAAGAACCUGUCUCAAAAUAAAAUAUAAAAAGUGCUGGGGAUGUGGCUCAGUGGUUCAGUGCCCCUGGGUUAAAUCCUUGGUUUAAAAAAAAUGUUAAUAGGAGCUGGGGUUGUGGCUCAAGUGGAGGCGUGCUCGCCUAGCAUGUGUGAGGCACUGGGUUUGAUUAUCAGCACCACAUAAAAAAAUAAAAAAUAAGAUAUUGUGUCCACCUAAAACUAAAAAAUAAAUAUUAAAAAAAUUA
rnacentral:lncRNA from 1 species